UUAAGUAGGACUUCACAUUCACAAUUUAAGGAGUCACUACUUAGAAGUGCUGACUACCAAAACCACUCAACCCAGUUACUGCAAACUACAAACUACAAACUACUGCUUCGGGGCAUGGAUGCUAGGUGUUGCAGAUGAUUUAACCAUUUCUUUUGUCGCCUCUCUCUGAUGUGUAUAUGUACAUCUAUUUCUCUGCACACUUUUACAGCACUGUACACCCCCUGCUGGAACCUAAUCUGGUUCCUUGCCCUCCAGAUAAGUGUGAUUUCUUUCCCUGUUUUCCCCUUUGCGCACCUAUUGACCCAUUCCACCUCCUGUAGCUAAGUUCCUAUAGUCCUUUGGAACCCAAGCCAGAACACACAAGUAUCAUCAACAAUAAUUCCAAACUUCGCAAGUUUGUCCACAGUUGCCAGUCUUUUCAAUAAAGCUAUCCGUAAGAUGAAGUUAUGCCUUGGAUGUAUGCUAGCUUGCAGAAGUAUACUCUUCCAUGGAGCUUUUGGAAGCUGUGGGAGCAUGGCAGUAUAGAUAUUUUCUAUGGAGAAUUCCCCCCAGCCCACUGUUAAUGUAUUCAGUCUUCUUUGAAGAUUUCCUUGCAAUCCAGGUGUCUGCAUAAUCACUUUCUUGGAUUCCAAUACCUUCUUGAUAACCCAGAAUUAAACAGGUAAUCCAUCAACACCAGGUGACUUGUCUGCAGGCAUCUCUUUAAUGGCAUUUUGAAUUUCCUCUACUGUGACCUCCUGGAUUAGUGUGAGUUUUUGUGCAGCAGUCAAAAAAGGCCCUCUCUUUAUAACUUCUGAGUUGGGAUAUGGAACCUCAGUAGCUGCAGUUCCUAACAAAUUAGUAAAGAAAGUAAUAAAUUCUUUUUCUACUAAUACAAGAUCAGUAAUCUUUGCUCCAUUAGCAUCACAAAUGAAGGUAAUUAUAUUUCUUUUUGAUCUAACUUUACAUUGAGCAUGAAAAAUUUUAAGUUAGAGUCACCACAAGUUAUCCAAGUAGCUUUGGACUUCUAUCUUAAUGCUUGUUCUUCCACUAAUCACCACUUGUACAAUUCGUGGAUCAAUAUUUUUUCUUCUUCAAUCAGCUGUUGAUUUAAGAGAUCUGAGGUAAGUUAUUCCUGUAAUAGUAAUCUGCAAGUGCUGAUCAUAAGAUGCCAGGUAGGAGUUGAGCUACUUAAGAUUACCUUUAAGAGCCUUGAUUUUUUGAGCCAACUGGUACAUCUUGGUCCCUCUAUAUCUCUGCAUCCAAGUACUUUCCACAAUCUCAGGGAAUUGCUGGUGAUUAAGCACUGUAUGAAACAAUUUGAAUGGUUUCGGCCUAUUACUGACUGUGGUAGUGCAUUGUAUUAUCACUAGAGAAUGAUUUGAGAUACCAGGGGCCAAAUAGUCUAUCUUCACUAUUCCAUACAUCUGCAACCAUUGAUAAUUCCUCAUAGUCCAGUCUAUUCUACAGUAUUACUGUAUUAGCUUGCUCUUUCUUACUGCAGAAAGAGAAAUAACAACCCUUGGAUCUCAGGAGGGUCAAUCACAGAGUGUCAAGAAAGUCUCUUAACUCCUAGGUUUCACCAGGUGUAACAGGGGAGCCCAGUAUAUCUUCAGUACUCAACACAGAGUUGAAAUCUCCACUUAAAAUCUAAGCUUCCUAGAUAGAAUUUCCCAAAUUAACCAAUGCACGCUAUAGGGCAGAGGUUUCAGCACUUGUAUUUUUAGCAUAGACUAUAGUACAAUACAUUUUAAAGAACUCCAUAGGGUAUUCAAUAAAAUAAUGUAUGAACUCCUCAUGGGACUACAAUAUAUGUACCUGUAUAGAGGUCCUCCACAGUAACCAGAUCCUCCCAUAUGAAGCUAUAGGAUAAAUACAGCAUGAACUCCAUCCCUGUGCCACCUUUUCUAGUAUACUGUCACUCUUAUGCUGCUUUACUCUUAUCCCUAGACAACCCAUCACAUCUACCUUAUACUUCUAGAGAAAGAGCUUUAACUCUUUUGGUUUGAUGGGUUGAUUUAAACCCCUCACAUUCCAAGCAGUGAGAAUCAUUUUAUAUUGGGUACAACACCAGGAACUUCUAGCUUAUCCCCUUUUUUCAAGACUUACCAGUGGAUUGAACUGGUUUGCUGUAUCUGCAAAACUAGGCUACCCCUUUUCUUGUUGCCUUUCUUUGUCACUGAUCUUCUCUUCUUGUGUGGUGUUAUUGGUUUAGCAUCUUUUUCUGAAGGUAACAUGCAAUUUUGUCUCACAGGUCUCCUUCUUCUUCUUCUUCUUCUUCUUCUUCUUCUUUUAUUCCUUCUUCUCUUUUUUGGCACCUCUUGGAACCCCUCUUCCUGGGCUUUGCCUGGUGCCUCAUCCUGCUACUUACAAGCUUUAGGUUGGUGCCAAAACCUCAGGCAAUGACUAAAGAAUUGUGGCUUCCAAUCAUAAUCAACAGGUUGUUGGAAGGUGCCAAUUGGAGUAACCAUUUCUACGAAUUUAACUAGUGGUAUUGCAACAUCAACCUCAACACAUACAUGAGCAUAUGAAAUUUGCUCCAUACUAGCUGUAAAAUAAUCCGUGUAAAGAGGUCUCCCUAUACCAUUCAUAAUUUUACUAAGUGCUUCCGUUUAAUGCCCCAAGUCUAUACCCCGGACACUACACGGUGCUCAUAAUCUCGAAGAAUCACAAGCUAACCCAUGACUGGUACAUAACUGAACAAUAAUACUGAAUAAUAUGCGAAAUUAGGCGGAAAUAUGCCAUAAGGUUCAAUCUAUAACUAAUACUGAUAGGGUAUAACAAUACCAAAACUGAAUAUCAAUGUUGUAAAUUAGACAACUCACUGAGUGUACUCUUGUCUGAGAAGCCUCUAAAACUGUCUGAUCUGUGGAGUUGAUGAGACAAGUCCCCAACUAACUCUAACUACUGAUACUGAAACUGAAAUACUGUAAAUAAUAAGCAUGUCCUCGAACUAUAACGACUCACCACUACUCUUCUGAUUGCUGAAAGUCUAAUCUGCUAAGGAUGCACGAGAGCCCGUGCAUCGGAACCUAUGAUAUAAGACAUCAUAGCGCAAAAAGCAUUUGUCAGUACUUUGAAUGUACUGGUAUGCUCAGUGAGGUAGGCUGAAAUGCAUGGGUACAUAUGCAUGAACAAUAGUAACUAAAUAACAUGAGUAUGACUGAAUGAGAGUACGUGCAUGAAUACGUAAAUUGUAACUGAAAACAUGAUAGUACUAGAUAUUGAAUCUAAAUACUAUUUAACUGAGGUCGGAGUUUACUGAUACUGUAUUACUGAUAACUGAAUGACUGUAUCUGACAGUCCUAAAUUCUGUGGAACUAUACUAAGUUCUGUACUGAGCUGAGUGACUAUAUCUGAUAGCC